rnacentral:sRNA from 1 species
AAAAGGGCUAGUGGGUACUUCCUGUCUCUUAGAUGUUCCUCAGGCAGAGCAGCCCCCGGAGCAGAACAGUGGUCUCCAGCAGGCUGUCAGGGGUUGGGUACCUUGUGGAAAGCACAGAGAGCCUUCAACCGGUGUUCAGAGGAGUAUGGGCUUUGGAAAAUUGUUACUUUCUGCCAGAGUAAGAGAUAAUGAAGUCAGGAAAUGCCACCCAACAGAACAGACCCUAUGACGGAGGUGGGAACCAAGUGCUUGCUAUAGAGGAAGAAUCUCAGUGGUGGAAGCCAAAAGACUGCUGGUCUUCGAGUCUAUCACUUUGCUCCAAUCAGUUACAGAAGGAAGAAUCGCAUCAUGUGACUCCAGACCAGAGGUGUUGCAAAUCUGAGUGCUACCUGCAGCUAAUUCCUCAGAUGAAACCAUGUCUACUCCUUGAGAACCCGGAAGGAUGCAGGGACCCACUGGAAGAACACUCUUUGCAAAGGCAUCAAGUCCUGCUGUUCACUGGAGCCAUUUCACAGGCAAUGAAGGUGAGCUAGAGGACUAAGCCACUGAGGAAGAAAAGGCAAGGAGGAGAAAGGGAGGCAGAAGCUGGCAAAUAUGAAUCCUGGCUGCUUCCUACUAUCUGCAGAGGACAACAUAGGCCUGCUAGAGUCAUGGAGGACAGCCCUAUGCAUAAAGAAUCCCUCAGGGAAACGGCAGGCUGAGGAACUCAGCUGGACCUGCAAAGCCCUCUGCCUAGGCAAGAGCCCUGGUGCCUUUUAUUAGACAGAAGACCAUUCUACAAUAAAUACUCCUCACACAGGCCAGAGAAGUUACCAUAGUUGGCUCCGUCCCAGCAGAGCUGAGUCAGCAGGAAAUCUGCCAAGGUGCAGCAAACCCCGUGUCCUAUGGGUUCCCUGUGUUGAUGUUUUUUAAAGCCCGAGGCUGAGAGCUUGAACGCCAAGUGUGCAGUAGAUGCACCACACCUGUGGGUCCCAGGUCCUGUGAAGGGGUGAGUAGAUGAGUGGAUGGUCUAGCAGUCUUGCAAAGGGGUCAAAGCAAGUUUCUUAUUUAUGAAAUAAGCCGGAGAAUAUUAGCUCCUCAGAGGUUUGAGGACCUUGAGAUUUCCCAAGCUUUAGGUUUGGUUUUAUCUGUUUAUUUAUUCAUUUGCCAUGCUGAGCAUUGACCCCUGGCCUUGACUAUGUUUGGAAAGUGUCCUAGCAGUGAGCCAUAUCCUCAGUCCUGCAUAGUAUAUCCUGAUGAGCUAUGAGCUAUGGUUCUGAGUAUGAGGUCUCUCUUUUCUCGCUCUGUUGCUAACUUUACCAAACAGUGCACCCAUAUUUCCUCUAUGAACCUGGGAUUUAUGAACUAGCUCAAAGGACCAGACUGAUAAGGAAGAGUUUGUAAGCUAUAAAGUUCUGGAGAAAACCAAAGCAUAAUUAUCUUUGGCAUGGGGUAGGCCCUGAGCAGCUAAGGGACCUCAUUUCUUUUAGCUUCUCUAUCAGGAUGUCAUAGGAAGGGGCCAUAUCAACAGGAUGGGUCUUGUUCACAAUUAAUACUUAAGGAGAAUUACCCAAGAAUCAGGGGUGUAGCUCAGGUGGCAGGGUGCUUGGGUAGUAUUGUGAGCUAGUUAUGGUGAGGUGGUCCAUGUUUGUAACCCCAGCUCUUGGGAGGUAGAGGCAGGAGGAUCAGAACUUCAAGAUCAUCCUAGACUCUAUAGCCAGUUUGAGGUCAACCUACUCUAUAUGAGACCCUAUUUUUCAAAACAAACAGUCUGUCUAUCUACCUCUCUACCUUCCUACCUCCCGUAGUCUCUCAGUAUAUUUCUCAAAUUUUCCAUCACCUGUUCAGUUCUCCAACAUAACUGGAAGAAGAAAUGACUGUUUUUAUAGCUGCCUAGUAGUUAGGCUCUAUCCCAGCCUCCAGAGGGAAAACUUGUUUGACUAGUUGAGGAUAAGAAGUGUAGGCAGGCUCAGAAUAGCAGCUUAUGCCUUUAAUCCUAGCUCUUGGGGAGCAGGUGCUAGCCUGUUCUACAUAGCAGGCCAAAGGCCAGCCACUGAUACAUAGUGAGACCCUGUGAAG